AGUGAUAUGGCUGAGUGUAUAGGCAGUAAAUUGUAAAUUUAUUUAUGAGCGUGAGCUCUGUUACUA
rnacentral:tRNA from 1 species